rnacentral:rRNA from 1 species
AUUGAACGCUGGCGGCAUGCCUUACACAUGCAAGUCGAACGGCAGCACGGGAGCAAUCCUAGUGGCGAGUGGCGAACGGGUGAGUAAUACAUCGGAACGUGCCCAAUCGUGGGGGAUAACGCAGCGAAAGCUGUGCUAAUACCGCAUGAGAUCUACGGAUGAAAGCAGGGGACCGCAAGGCCUUGCGCGAAUGGAGCGGC